UCAAAACAGGUGUACUUUGGGAAUAAAAGGUCAAAGUAGUGUAUUUUAGGAAAAGAAUGGAGAGAGAAUAUGUAAUUUGGUAAAAAAACCCAUCUUCUUGCCUAUAAAUAGACCCAAAUAAUGUGAGGUUCCAUACUCCAAAAUCCACAUCUAGCAGCAAAUUAUGGAAUCCCAUGAUGAAGAGCAUGCUGCCAAACUACUUAGAGCUCAAACCCACAUAUGGAAUCACAUAUUUAGCUUCAUAAACUCCAUGUCCCUUAAAUGUGUGGUUGACUUAGGCAUACCAGAUAUCAUACACAACUAUGGCCAACCCAUGCCACUCUCAAACCUCAUUGCUUCACUACCAAUCCACCCAUCCAAAACUUGCUUCGUCCAUCGCUUGAUGCGAAUCAUGAUCCAUUCUGGCUUCUUCUCUUUACAAAAUCAUGACUUGGAGAAUGAGCUAGAAGCCAAGUAUGUGCUAACCGAUGCAUCUGUACUACUGCUUAAGAACCAUCCGAUGAGUGUGACACCUUUCUUGCAUGCCAUNNNNNNNNNNNNNNNNNNNNNNNNNNNNNNNNNNNNNNNNNNNNNNNNNNNNNNNNNNNNNNNNNNNNNNNNNNNNNNNNNNNNNNNNNNNNNNNNNNNNNNNNNNNNNNNNNNNNNNNNNNNNNNNNNUCACUUGUUCAAUGAUGCCAUGGCAAGUGAUGCUCGAUUUGUCACUAGUUUGGUGAUUGAGAAAUGUAAGGGAGUGUUCAUGGGAUGGAGUCAUUGGUUGAUGUUGGGGGAGGCACAGGGACCAUGGCAAAAGCCAUUGCUAAAUCAUUCCCUCGGGUGGAAUGCAUUGUGUUUGAUCUACCACAUGUUGUUUCUGGCUUGAAAGGAAGUGAGAACCUUAAAUAUGUUGCAGGGGACAUGUUUGAGGCAAUUCCUCCAGCUGAUGCCAUUUUGUUAAAGGUAAAUCACUAUUCACAUUCAGAAUACAAUUUUACAUUCAUACCAUUAACACCCAGUUUUUAUACUUGAGUGAUGUCAAAUUUUAAAGAAUUAAAGCAAAUAAUUGAUCGAUUGGAAAAAAAAAUGAACGAUUUUAUGAUCAUUGAUCACUUGAAAUAACUUCAAAUAUAUAUAUGUAUAUUGUUCACUAAGCUAGUAAGCUAGCACCAGCUAGUAGUCCAACUACAUAUCUGCCACUAUCAUACCAAAUCAGACCAACUAAGUGGUCUAUAUGGCUUGUAAUAAUUAGUACUAGUUUACUAAGUGGGUACGUAAAGUAACUAGCAUAUGAUUAUUUGAAAAGUAAAUCUCUGCUCAUAUUCUAGAAAAAAUAGUUAUAGAUCUCUUCAAAUUUGACUUUUCUUUUUUCUGAAGUAUUGACUAUAUGUUGCGGUUAAAAACAUUACAUGAUGUGCCAAUUCAUUCUACCAAGCUUAAUAUGAAUGCAAGUCAAUAUUUUAUGAUUCUGAUCGGUGUGUUACUUUGAAUGACAAAGCAGUGGAUAUUGCAUGACUGGAAUGAUGAGGAGUGUGUGGACAUAUUGAAGAAAUGCAAAGAGGCCAUAACGAGGAAAGGCAAAGAAGGGAAGGUGAUCAUCAUAGACAUGGUGGUGGAGAAUGAGAAGAGAGAUGAUGAAUCAGUUGAAACACAGCUCUUCUUUGAUAUGCUGAUGAUGGUGUUGGUCACUGGAAAAGAGAGAAGCAAGAAAGAAUGGGCUAAGUUGAUUUCCUCUGCUGGUUAUAACAACUACAAGAUAACUCCAGUCUUGGGCUUAAGGUCUCUCAUUGAGAUCUAUCCAUAGUAAGUUAAUGAGAUGUGCCAGCACUCUAUCAUUCAUAUAUGUUAGGGCUAUAAUUUUUCUGUUUCGAUUCAUGAGUGAAUGUUGGAUAAGUAACAAUAGCAAUAGACUGAACUCUCUUCAUCAUAGUUGUGUUGUUGGAACAGUACUGUCAAGAAAGGAAAAAAAAAAAAUCUGAGGAUAAGUAUAGUUUGCGUGGUAUAUAUAGCAGGUGAAGAAAAAAAGGAACAUGUGGUUAAAGAGCACAGUGAGUUUGGCAAUUACUUUUUUUUUUGGUAACUGAAUUUGCCUUGUAUUAGAUUUGUGAAGAACUAAGUUUGUGAGAGUUGUUAUUGAAUAAGAUUGUUUCUAAAGGUUUGAUAAAGGUAUAAUGGUUUAUCUAAAUACAUUUCAAUAUUUUAGUAUUUUAAUUAAGUUCAUAAUGAUGUGAUUAUGUGUCAUGUCAAUAAAGAUAUAUCAUUAAUCUCAUCUUAAUAAUAGUGUCAUGCAAACAAUGAAAUUAAUGAGACUAAAAUAAAAUAAAAAGAAUUUUAUGGAGACAUAAAAUAGAUAAAAUAAAUAUUACAGAAACUAAAAAUGAAAAGAAAUUAUAAGAAUAAAAAAAAAAGAAUUUGCUUAUAUCUUCAAAGGUCACUUUAAGUUGUUUAUAUUUUUUAUUUUAAAUAUUGGGUUGCACCAAAGAAAUGAUCAUUAUAUUCAUGUUAAGAAUAAAUAAAGCAAAACAUAAUGACCAAAAAAUAUAGCAAAUUAAAUCCUAUAAUUUUUCUUUUGGAUGAAGUAUGAAUAUAAAAAGUAAGAGACAACAAAGUUUAAGACAUCACGAAAGAAUUUUUCAUAAAUUUCUCUAUAAUGACUUUAGGAUAAAAAUCUCAUCUUUGACUUCAAAACACUUGAACACAUAUCCUAAUUAGCUAAAGUAUCAAUCACAUGAUUAGAAUCAUGUGACAUAAUUGCAACUAACAAAGUUCAAAUGUUUCUUACUAAUGCUAUUAAAUAAAAUAAGAUUAAUUGAAAUUUAUUUGUAUUUGAAGUCAAGACUGUUAACUCGUUGACAAGUGUACCAAAUUUGUCACAAGUAAUAAAGUACUCGGAAGUCCGAGUGUCGAAUCCACUGGGAUUUUGUGUUGUACUUAUCUUGGAUACUUUUCAAUUUAUAAGGAAUUAAAAGAAAAAGUAGAAGGCAAUAAUAGUAAAUUAUAAAUAGAAAGCAAAAGAAUUAAAAGCAAAAUAAUUAAAGAGAGAAUUCAAUGGAAUGCGAAUGUUAGGACCUAGCAUGCCUUGUUUGCCUAGGAUGUAUGAAUUUAUGAUUUUUCUUCACCAAUUUAGGUGAUUCUAUUCUACCCACAUCUGUUCAUUUACUUGCCCCUGAUUCCUCACGAUGACAAGUCUAUUUUAUUCAUUUAUCUCCCAAAUUCCUUUGUAAAAACUCAACAAAUAAAAUGCAUGAAGUAUGAAUUCUAGAUGUUUGCAAGAAUGCAUGGGCAUAAAAUUAUCAUUCUAUUCCUAGCAAUGACUUUCUUAUGAAAUCCUUUCUUUUUGUUCUAUUAGAAGUUACCUUCUUCCGAGUGUCUAACCCCUAAAACUAAUGCAUGCAUACCUUCUUUAAAUCUUGUUUAGAAGUUACCAUCUCCCGAGUGUCUAACCCCUAAAAGAAUAUAAAGAUGAAUAAUGCAAGAUAAAAACAGAAAAGAUAAUAGAAUAGAAAAACCUGGAAAAUAAUCCUGUUGCAUUGAUAAAUAUGAAGUACAUCAUACAUUUCUUUGACUUUUUAGGCCUACCAGGCCCUAACUAGGAGUUUAGUCACUCAUGGCCAUUGAGGGCUUUACAAUGAGAAGGGGGUGAAAAAAAGAUGAUAAAAAAAAGGAAGAGAGUAAAAAUUCUCAGGCUUUGAGUAGUAGUGAGAGUGCUCUCUGAGACUUGGUGUUUUCCUCCUUGGCCUGACUCUCUAUCUAUAGCUGAUGAAGUGGACUUGGGCUUGAUUCAAACAAUCUUCCUUAUCUAUCUUUUUUAUAUCUUUUGGAUCUUGUAAAUCUUAUCUUUCCUAUAUCUGCAAGUCAUAGAUAAGAAAAUAUCAAUUCAUAUCUUUUAAGUCAAAAUUAACUGCUAAAUAAAUAUCUUUAAAGAUAUUUUCAAAUUAGCUCAUAUUUAACAGUUAUCAAUAUCUUUUAGAUCUUGUAAUCUUAUCUUUUUAUAUCUGCAAGCCAUAAAUAAUAAAAGUAUCAAUUCUUAUCAUUUAAGCAAAAAAAUAACUGUUAAAUAAAUAUUUUCAAAGAUAUUUUCAAUAUAUUUUUAUUAUGAAAUAACUCAUAUUUAACAGUUAUCAAAGACACAGAUAUAUUUUUUUGCUUGCAUUCGAAAUCAAAGAAAGCAAGUACAUCUAAGCGCUUAAUGAAGAUGGUUGGAGGUAGACAGAGGUGAAUUCACAUAUAAGCUUGUUUCCCCAGUAUGAAUUUUUAUACUUGAAUAUAAUACUCCUAUUCAUGUGGGCAUAGAUGCAAAAGUUUGAGAUGAGGAAGGUCACAAGCUUGGAUAGGUUUGGAAGAUAAAUGGUUUGUGAGAAUAUAUAAAUGCUAAAUUAAAACAUAUUAUUGGAAGACAGUUGAAGGAUUGACGUCGGAGUAGUUAGUGCAGUGGAAAUAAAUGCCAUUAUUGGAGGACGGUUGAAAGAUUAGCGUAGGUGGGGCUAGUUAUUUCGGUGGGAAUAAAUGCUAAAUUAAAACAUAUUAUUGGUGGAAAUUUGGGAUGGAAAUGAGUCACGCCGCUUGUCAAGGGCCUUUUGCUCGACCUAUUUAAGACUUGGUUUGACUUGACUUGUUUAUUAUAAAGGUCAAACUUAAGCUUUUUAAAAAGCUAUUUUAGAUAAAAAUGACAAAGGCAAAUUAUAAAAAAUAAACUUGUUAAGCUUGACAAACCGGCUUGUUAAGCUUGACAAACUGGCUUAUUUAAGUAAUAAUAAUAAUAAUAACUAUUAUCUAUACCAUUUUUAUGGAAUUAUGAAUGACAGGCUGAAGCGACAUAAGGUGCUUAGAGAAUUCACUUGCAUGUGAAAAAUUUUCAAAAGAAAAGAUUCAAGUUAAAGGAUCAAGAAAUCAGAUGAAUACUUCAAAUGAAAAGAAUGUUUUGUAAAAUAUUGUCAGACAAUGUAAAUAGUUUUAUUUGACUAUAGUAAUAUAAAUCAUCGUUAAUCCAAUAUAUUGUUUAAUAUUAUGCUCUCUUUUUUUUCAUUUUCUUGUGAUAUACUUUGUGUUUUAACAACUUGAAUUUAAUAUGAUUUUGUUUAUCAAUUAUUUUUGGAUUUGUACAUUACUUAUAUGAAAUUUUAUAAGUUUUUUUUAGUUAAUAUUUCACUAGGUUUUAGAACAAUUAAUUGGUCAAAGACGUCUUUAAGCAGAUUUUUAAAUAGGCUCGUAGGUAAAAUCAGACUUCAAUGUGAGUCGAGCCGAGCCUUAAAAAAAAUUCUAUGAUAGGUAAUGAGACAAGCUCAAGUCUUGCUUAUUCAACUCAAGCCGAGCUCAAGCCUAAUAAAGCUUGAUUUGCCUUGACUCAUUUUCACUCCUAGUGAGAAUAGGGGUCAACUUCUAAUUUUACUAUAGGCACUUUAAUUAAUAGGGGUGGGUAAGCGGGUUGGCCCGCCCCGCGUAAGGCUAGUCCGCAUAAGCCCGCAUUGGCAGUGGAUCGGGUCAGCCCGCCCCGCAUUCUUACACUGACCAAAUAUAUUGGUCCGCCCCCGCCCCGCGAACCCCGCGAGUCAAACGGGCCAGUCCGUGGGCCUUGUUUUAAAAGAAUUUCAAUUUCAAUAAAAAUGCAACACAAUCAAAUUAAGUUCAAUACAAAUGUAAAUAAAAUCUUAACAAUUAGUCAAUUACAUCAAUAAAAUAAAUAAUGUCUUACAAAAGAAAAUCCAAGCAAUAAAUUUAAAAUAUGAAACUUAAACAUCUCUAACAACAAAUGAUUCUACAUUUAAAGUAAUAUAAUCCUAAUGCGGGCAAUUCGCAGACCCCGUGGGCCAAACUCGCAUAUUCUGCGGGUUAAGUGGGGCGGAUCCAAAAAUAUGACAUCAUCAUGGACCGUUUAAAAAAAUUGAUCCAUUAUCCGCGCGAACCACGGAACCCGGGGGCCAGUCGAUGGACCUGGGCCUGUUUACCCACCCUUAUUAAUUAGCAAGCUAUUAUAUUAUAUUGGUGGAUUAGGACAUCUAUAGUCCAAGGAAUAUAAAAUUUACCUGACUCUUUGUAACUAUGCAUGUGAUCUAUCUAAUGAAUUCCACCUCCUUUUUAUACAUCAUACACAUGCAAUGUUAAUCACUAUGAUAUAAAACAUUUAAAUUAUAUAUUAUUAUUACUAUGAUUUUUUUAAGAUAGAUAUAUUCAAAAUUAAAAAAAUUAUUAUAUUGGAUGGAUAAUGAUUUAAUAAUAUAGUAAAAUUAUUUUAUACUUGUUGGUGUAUAAUCAUUUUUUCUACAAAUAAAUAAAAAUAAUUAUAAUAUAAAACAUUAAUAUACCAUAAAAAUUAAAUAUUAAAAAAGAAAUGUAAAUAAUCAAUUAAAAUAUAUAAAAUUUAUAACAAUUUAUUCAUAUUUGAGAAAUUUUAAAAAUAUGUAUAUAAAUUAUUUUUCAAAUAAAUAUAUUAUUAAUAUACAUAAUUCAAACUAUGAAAAAUAUAUUAUUGAAAUAUUUAAAACACCAAAUACAUUUUAAAAAUUUGAUUUAAAUAAUAUUAAAAUUAAAACAUAACAAUCUCAAAAAAUAUUUUUAUAAAUCAGUCUUUUGUUGGAGAUAAGAAAAUACACUUUAGUUUUUAAUUCUAAAUAUUUAAUAUUGUAUUUGUUUUUUUCCAUACUGUAAUAUAUAAAAAAAUGUAUAAUCUAUUUAAGUUUUAGUAUUUUAUAGUGAAUUUCAAUUUGUUAGUUCUUUACAUAUUAAUUUUCUUUUUCAAAUUUUGUAGUAUCAUAUAUUACCUUUUUAAUAUUUGAAAGACUUGUAAUAUCAAAUAAAAUAAUAUUGCAAUUAAUGUAUAUAUUAACAUAUAAAAAUGAAUAGCAUAGAUAAAAAAAAAAUCAAGUAUGAUCGACAAUGAAAGUUUAAUCAUUGAAAAAGUUGCAUGAUGUCUUCUCGGGUACACCACUCUACUUCUAUAAGUGGUGCAUUGAUUUACUAGAUAAGUUUUUUUUAAGGAAUCCAUUAAAUGUAUUUUUCUCCAAUCCUGAUAUUAUUACAAAGUUGUUUUCACGUGGUGAUUAAUUUUCAAGAUGAUGAGCACAUACAAGAUAAUUUUCAGGAUCAAGAGCACAUACAAAAUAGCUUAUAAGAUUUUAAGUUACACUACAUACAAUUUGGUCAAAUUUUCUUAUAUUGUAAAAAGUUAUAGAUAAAAGUGAUGAUAAUUGUUGUCACCACUACUGAAGAAAGAAGAUUCUAAAUUGGUUAUUUGGAGCAUUCUACAUUGGUUGAGGAUCGUCGUAGUAGACCACAUCGUCAAAAGGGAAACCUAAUCUAGGACGGUCGCAAAGACUAUCUUAAAAAAUGUGUGUUUCUAAUUGCAGUCCCAAACUUUCCAAAAUUUAAUAUAGUGGUCAAAAUCAUGAUCAUUAACUAUUUUUUAAAACGUAGCUACAGAGAAUAAAGUUGUUGCUUAAACAUCUUCACGCCUAUAAAUAGACCCAAAUAAUGUGAGGUUCCAUACUUCAAAAUCCAAAUCUAGCGAUUAAUUAUAGUUUAGGCAGCAAAUUAUGGAUUCCCAUGAUGAGGAGCAUGCUGCCAAACUACUUAGAGCUCAAACCCACAUAUGGAAUCACAUAUUUAGCUUCAUAAACUCCAUGUCCCUUAAAUGUGUGGUUGACUUAGGCAUACCAGAUAUCAUACACAACUAUGGCCAACCCAUGCCACUCUCAAACCUCAUUGCUUCACUACCAAUCCACCCAUCCAAAACUUGCUUUGUCCAUCGCUUGAUGCGAAUCAUGAUCCAUUCUGGCUUCUUCUCUCAACAAAAUCAUGACAUGGAGAAUCAGCUAGAUGCCAAGUAUGUGCUUACCGAUGCAUCUGUACUAUUGCUUAAGAACCAUCCGAUGAGUGUGACACCUUUCUUGCAUGCCAUGCUUGAUCCAAUUUUGACAAAUCCAUGGAAUCAAUUUUCUACUUGGUUCAAAAAUGGUGACACUACACCAUUUGAAACGGCACAUGGGAUGAUGCUUUGGGAUUACGCUGGCGCUGAUCCAAAACAUAAUAACUUGUUCAAUGAUGCCAUGGCAAGUGAUGCUCGAUUUGUCACUAGUUUGGUGAUUGAGAAAUGUAAGGGAAUGUUCAUGGGAUUGGAGUCAUUGGUUGAUGUUGGGGGAGGCACAGGGACCAUGGCAAAAGCCAUUGCUAAAUCAUUCCCUCGGGUGGAAUGCAUUGUGUUUGAUCUACCACAUGUUGUUUCUGGCUUGAAAGGAAGUGAAAACCUUAAAUAUGUUGCAGGGGACAUGUUUGAGGCAAUUCCUCCAGCUGAUGCCAUUCUGUUAAAGGUAAAUCACUAUUCACAUUCAGAAUACAAUUUUACAUUCAUACCAUUAACACCCAGUUUUUAUACUUGAGUGAUGUCAAAUUUUAAAGAAUUAAAGCAAAUAAUUGAUCGAUUGGAAAAAAAAAAUGAACGAUUUUAUCAUCAUUGAUCACUUGAAAUAACUUCAAAUUUUUAUAUGUAUAUUGAUCACUAAGCUAGUAAGCUAGCACCAGCUAGUAGUCCAACUACAUAUCUGCCACUAUCAUACCAAAUCAGACCAACUGAGUGGUCUAUAUGGCUUGUAAUAAUUAGGACUAGUUUAUUAAGUGGUUACGUAAAGUAGCUAGCAUAUGAUUAUUUGACAAGUAAAUCUCUGCUCAUAUUCUAGAAAAAAUAGUUAUAGAUCUCUUCAAAUUUGACUUUUCUUUUUUCUGAAGUAUUGACUAUAUGUUGCGGUUAAAAACGUUACAUGAUGUGCCAAUUCAUUCUACCAAGCUUAAUAUGAAUGCAAGUCAAUAUUUAUUUCUUUUGUAUGAUUCUUAUCGGUGUGUUACUUUGAAUGACAAAGCAGUGGAUAUUGCAUGACUGGAAUGAUAAGGAGUGUGUGGACAUAUUGAAGAAAUGCAAAGAGGCGAUAACGAGGAAAGGCAAAGAAGGGAAGGUGAUCAUCAUAGACAUGGUGGUGGAGAAUGAGAAGAGAGAUGAUGAAUCAGUUGAAACACAGCUCUUCUUUGAUAUGCUGAUGAUGGUGUUGGUCACUGGAAAAGAGAGAAGCAAGAAAGAAUGGGCUAAGUUGAUUUCCUCUGCUGGUUAUAACAACUACAAGAUAACUCCAGUCUUGGGCUUAAGGUCUCUCAUUGAGAUCUAUCCAUAGUAAGUUAAUGAGAUGUGCCAGCACUCUAUCAUUCAUAUAUGUAAGGGCUAUAAUUUUUCUGUUUCGAUUCAUGAGUGAAUGUUGGAUAAGUAACAAUAGCAAUAGACUGAACUCUCUUCAUCAUAGUUGUGUUGUUGGAACAGUACUGUCAAGAAAGGAAAAAAAAAAAAUCUGAGGAUAAGUAUAGUUUGCGUGGUAUAUAUAGCAGGUGAAGAAGAAAAGGAACACGUGGUUAAAGAGCACAGUGAGAGUUUAGCAAUUACUCUUUUUUUGGUAACUGAAUUUGCCUUGUAUUAGAUUUGUGAAGAACUAAGUUUGUGAGAGUUGUAUUAAAUAAAAUAAGAUUAAUUGAAAUUUAUUUGUAAUUGAAGUCAAGACACAUAUAUAUUUUUUUGCUUGCAUUCGAAAUCAAAGAAAGCAAGUUCAUCUAAAAACUUAAUGAAAAUGGUUGGAGGUAGACAGCGGUGAAUGCACAUAUAAGCUUGUUCUCACAGUAUAAAUUUUUAUACUUGAAUAUAAUACUCCUAUUCAUGUGGGCAUAGAUGCAAAAGUUUGAGAUGAGGAAGGUCACAAGCUUGGAUAGGUUUGGAAGAUAAAUGAUUUGUGAUAAUAUAUAAAUGCUAAAUUAAAACGUAUUAUUGGAAGACAGUUGAAGGAUUGGCGUUAGUGUAGUUAGUGCGGUGGGAAUAAAUGCUAUUAUUGGAGGACGGUCAUACGUGGAGCUAGUUAUUGCGGUGGGAAUAAAUGCUAAAUUAAAACAUAUUAUUGGAAGGCAGAUUGACUCGUAGAAGUUAUUGUUGUGGGAAUAAAUGCUAUUAUUGGAGGACGGUUGAAGAAUUGGUGUACGUGGGGUUAGUUAUUGCGGUGGGAAUAAAUGCUAAAUUAAAAUAUAUUAUUGAUAGACACUUGAAGGAUUGGCGUCAGAGUAGUUAGUGCGGUGGGAAUAAAUGUUAUUAUUCUCAUCUUAAUAAUAAUGUCAUGCCAACAAUGAAAUUAAUGAGACUAAAAUAAAAUAAAAAGAAUUUUAUGGAGACAUAAAAUACAUAAAAUAAAUAUUAUAGAAACUAAAAAUGAAAAGAAAUUAUAAGAAUUAAAAAAAAGAAUUUGCUUAUGUCUUCAAAGGUCACUUAAAGUUGUUUAUAUUUUUUAUUUUAAAUAUUGGGUUGCACAAAAGAAAUGAUCAUUGUAUUCAUGUUAAGAAUAAAUAAAGCAAAAUAUAAUGACCAAAAAUUAUACCAAAUUAAAUUCUAUUUUUUUUUCUUUUGGAUGAAGUAUGAAUAUAAAAUUAAGAGACAACAAAGUUUAAGACAUCACGAAAGAGUUUUUCAUAAAUUUCUCUAUAAUGACUUCAAGAUAAAAAUCUCAUCUUUGGCUUCAAAACACUUGAACACAUAUCCUAAUUAGCUAAAGUAUCAAUCAUAUGAUUAGAAUCAUGUGACAUAAUUGCAAGUAACAAAGUUCAAAUAUUUCUCACUAACGCUAUCAAAUAAAAUAAGAUUAAUUGAAAUUAAUUUGUAUUUGAAGUCAAGACACAUAUAUUUUUUUGCUUGCAUUCGAAAUUAAAGAAAGCAAGUUCAUCUAAACGCUUAAUGAAAAUGGUUGGAGGUAGACAGAGGUGAAUGCACAUAUAAGCUUGUUCUCACAGGAUAAAUUUUUAUACUUGAAUAUAAUACUCCUAUUCAUGUGGGCAUAGAUGCAAAAGUUUGAGAUGAGGAAGGUCACAAGCUUGGAUAGGUUUGGAAGAUAAAUGGUUUGUGAGAAUAUAUAAAUGUUAAAUUAAAACAUAUUAUUGAAAGACAGUUGAAGGAUUGGCAUCAGAGUAGUUAGUGCGGAGGGAAUAAAUGCUAUUAUUGGAGGACGGUUGAAGGAUUAGCGUAUGUGGGGCUAGUUAUUUCGGUGGGAAUAAAUGUUAAAUUAAAACAUAUUAUUGGUGGAAAUUUGGGAUGGAAAUGAGCCACGCCGCUUGUCAAGGGUCUUUGGCUCGACAUAUUUAAGACUUGGCUUGGCUUGGCUUGUUUACUAUAAAGGCCAAGCUCAAGCUUUGUAAAAAACUUUUUUAGAUGAAAAGGCCAAAGGCAAAUUAUAAAAAAAACUUCUUAAGCUUGACAAACCGUCUUGUUAAGCUUGACAAACUGGCUUGUUUAAGUAAUAAUAAUAAUAUUAAUAAUAAUAAAAACUAUUAUCUAUAUCAUUUUUAUAGAAUUAUGAAUGACAGGAUGAAGUGACAUAAAGUGCUUACAGAAUUCACUUGCAUGUGAAAAAAUUUUAAAAAGAAAAAGACUCAACUUAAAAGGAUAAAGCAAUCAGAUGAAUACUUCCAAAGAAAAGAAUGUUUUCUAAAAACAUUUUCAGACAAUUUAUAUAUUUUUAUUUGAUUAAAUUAAUAUAAAUCAUCUCUAAUCCAUAUAUUUUUUUAAUAUUAUGCUCUCUUUUUUUUCAUUUUCUUUUGAUAUACUUUGUGUUUUAACAACUUGAAUUCAAUAUGAUUUUGUUUAUCAAUUAUUUUUGGAUUUGUACAUUACUUAUACGAAAUUUUAUAAGUUUCUUUUUUUAGUUAAUAUUUCACUAGGUUUUAGAACAAUUAAUUGUUCAAAGACGUCUUUAAGCAGAUUUUUAAAUAGGCACGUAGGCGAAAUCAGGCUUUUAUGUGAGCCGAGCCGAGCCUUUAAAAAAAUCCUAUGACAGGUAAUGAGCCAAGCUCAAACCUUGCGUAUUCAACUCAAUUCGAGCUCAAGCCUAGUAAAGCUUAAUUUGGCUUAACUCAUUUUCACCCCUAAUGGGAAUAGGGGUCAACUUCUAAUUUUACUACAGGCACUUUAAUUAAUAGGGGUGGGUAAGUGGGCUGGCUCGCCCCGCAUAAGCCCGCAUUGGCAGUGGACCGGGCCAGCUCACCCCGCAUUCUUACACGGACCAAAUAAAUUGGUCCGCCCCCGCCCCGCGGAUCCUGCGGGUCAAACGGGCCAGUCCGUGGCCCUAGUUUUAAUAGAAUUUCAAUUUUAAUAAAAAAUACAACACAAUCAAAUUAAGUUCAAUAUAAAUGUAAAUAAAAUCUUAACAAUUAGUCAAUUACAUAAAUAAAAUAAAUAAUGCCUUAGCAAAAGAAAAUCCAAACAAUAAAUUUAAAAUAUGAAACUUAAACAUCUCUAACAACAAAUGAUUCCAUAUUUGAAGCAAUAAAAUCUUAAUGCGGGCAACCAGAAGAUCCCGCGGGCCAAACUCACAUAGUCUGCGGGUUAAGUGGGGCAGACCCAAAAAUAUGACAUAAUCAUGGACCAUUUUAAAAAAUUGAUCCGUUACCCAAGCGAAUCGCAAGCCCCGCGGACCAGUCAAUGAACCUAGGCCCGUUUACCCACUCCUAUUAAUUAGCAUGCUAUUAUAUUAUAUUGGUGGAUUAGGACAUCUAUAGUCCCAGGAAUAUAAAAUUUACCUGACUCUUUGUAACUAUUAGGGGUGGGUAAACGGGCUCAGGUCCAUGUAUUGACCCACGGGGCCCGCGGUCUAUGAUUAUGUCAUAUUUUUUGGCCCACCUCGCUUAACCCGUGGACUAUGCGGGUUUGGCCUGCGGGGUCCGCGGGUUGUCCGUAGCCCGCAUUAGGUUUAAUUUGUGUGAUCCUGACCCAAUUAUAUUAGGUUUGAUUUUCUCUUUUUCAAUUUAAACUUUUCUUUUAAAAUAACAGAUAAAGAAAUAUAUUAGAUAUGAUAAAGAUAUAAAGAUAAAAAUAAAAGAUUUAAAUUGAAAGAUGAUAAAGAUAAAAAAAGGAUAAGAUAACAAAAAUAAAAGAUUAAGAUAAAAAAGAUAAGUGAUAACUUGCUAAAAAUCUUUUUUUUAUAUUUUAUCAAUCUUUUUCUCUUUUAAUCUAUCAUUUUCAUAUCUGAAAGUCAUAAAUAAUAAAAAUAUCAAUUCUUAUCAUUUAAGCCAAAAAUAAUUGUUAAAUAAAUAUUUUUAAAGAUAUUUCAAUAUAUGUUUAUUGUAAAAAAUAACUCAUAUCAUAUUUAGUAGUUGUAGCAGGCUAAAAACAUUUUUUCUCCUCACGUGUGCUUAACAAAUAUCGAACUAGGCUUCUUGUUGACAACAUACAAGCCUUGAUAUAUACUAAAAAUUGGUUACUAGUAUUUGAUAUGCAGGGUAAAUAAUAUGUAAUAAUUAUUGUCUUUUAAUCACUUAGCUUGACUUUAUUCUAAUAUUUUAUUAUUUUGAGUUUUAGGAAAAGAAGAUGAAGAUAUGGAGAUGGAGAAGGCUCAAGCUACUUCAAAUAUGAAAUCAUUUGUUGUUGGAGAUGUUUAAAUUUCAUAUUUUAGAUUUAUUGCUUCGAUUUCUUUGUUAAGACAUUAUUUAUUUUAUUGAUAUAAUUGACUAAUUAUUGAGAUUUUAUUUAUCUUUGUAUUGAACUUAAUUUGAUUGUAUUAUAUUUUUAUUAAAAUUAAAAUUCUUUUAAAAUUAGGCUCGCGGACUGGCUCGUUUGACCCGCGGGAUCCGUGGGGCGGGGGCGGACCAAUUUAUUUCGUCUGUGUAAGAAGCGGGGCGGAUUGGCCCGAUCCGCUACCAAUGCGGGCUCAUGCGGACGGGCCUUACACGGGGCAUGCCGGUCCGCUUACCCACCCCUAGUAACUAUGCACGUGAUCUAUCUAAUGAAUUCCACCUCCUUUUUAUACAUCAUACACAUGCAAUGUUAAUCACUAUAAUAUAAAACAAUUUAAUUAUAUAUUAUUAUUACUAUGAUUUUUUUAAGAUAGUUAUAUUCAAUAUUUAUAUAAUUAUUAUAUAGGAUGGAUAAUGAUUUAAUAAUAUUAUAAAAUUAUUUUACAUUUGUUUGUGUAUAAUCUUGUUUUCUACAAAUAAAUAAAAAUAAUAAUAAAAUAAAACAUUAAUAUACCAUAAAAAAUAAAUAUUAAAAAAGAAAUGUAAAUAAUCAAUUAAAAUAUAUAAAUUUUAUAACAAUUUAUUCAUAUUUAAGUAAUUUUUAAAAUAUGUAUAUAAAUUAUUUUUCAAAUAAAUAUAUUAUUAAUAUACAUAAUUCAAACUAUGAAAAAUAUAUUAUUGAAAUAUUUAAAACACCAAAUACAUUUUAAAAAUUUGAUUUAAAUAAUAUUAAAAUUAAAACAUAACAAUCCCAGAAAAUAUUUUUAUAAAUCAGUAUUUUGUUGGAGAUAAGAAAAUACACUUUCGUUUUUAAUUCUAAAUAUUUUAUAAUGUAUUGUUGUUUUUCCAUACUGUAAUAUAUAAAAAAGAUGUAUAAUCUAUUUAAGUUUUAGUAUUUUAUACUGAAUUUCAAUUUGUUAGUUCUUUACAUAUUAAUUUUAUUUUUCAAAUUUUGUAGUAUCAUAUAUUACCUUUUUAAUAUUUGAAAGACUUGUAAUAUCAAAUAAAAUAAUAUUGCAAUUAAUGUAUAUAUUAACAUAUAAAAAUGUAUAGCAUAGAUAAAAAAAAAAAAAAAAUCAAACAUGAUCGACAAUGAAAGUUUAAAUAUUGAACAAGUUGUAUGAUGUCUUCUCGGGUACACCACUCUACUUCUCUAAGUGGUGCAUUGAUUUACUAGAUAAUUUUUUUUAAGGAAUCCAUUAAAUAUAUUUUUCUCCAAUCAUGAUAUUAUUACAAAGUUGUUUUUACGUGGUGAUUGAUUUUCAAGAUGGUGAGCACAUACAAGAUAAUUUUGAGGAUCCAAAGCACCUACAAAAUAGCUGAUAAGGUUUUAAGUUAUACUACAUACAAUUUGGUUAAAUUUUCUUAUAUUGUAAAAAAAUUAUAGAUAAAAGUGGUCACAAUUAUUGUCACCCCUACUGGAGAAAGAAGAUUCUAAAUCAAUUAUUUGGAGCGUUCUACAUAGUGGCCAAAAUCAUGAUCACCAACUAUUUUUUAAAACCUAGCUACAGAGGAUAAAGUCGUUGCUUAAACAUCAUCUCGCCUAUAAAUAGACCCAAAUAAUUUGAGGUUCCAUACUUCAAAAUCCAAAUCUAGCGAUUAAUUAUAGUUUAGGCAGCAAAUUAUGGAAUCCCAUGAUGAGGAGCAUGCUGCCAAACUACUUAGAGCUCAAACCCACAUAUGGAAUCACAUAUUUAGCUUCAUAAACUCCAUGUCCCUUAAAUGUGUGGUUGACUUAGGCAUACCAGAUAUCAUACACAACUAUGGCCAACCCAUGCCACUCUCAAACCUCAUUGCUUCACUACCAAUCCACCCAUCCAAAACUUGCUUCGUCCAUUGCUUGAUGCGAAUCAUGAUCCAUUCUGGCUUCUUCUCUCAACAAAACCAU
rnacentral:lncRNA from 1 species